UACGUGAGGGGGCAAGCGUUGUCCGGAUUUAUUGGGCGUAAAGAGCGUGUAGGCGGCCAUUCAGGUCAGCUGUGAAAACUCGAGGCUCAACCUCGAGACGUCGGUUGAAACCGUUUGGCUAGAGUCCGGAAGAGGAGAGUGGAAAUUCCCGGUGUAGCGGUGAAAAUGCGCAGAUAUCGGGAAGAACACCCGUGGCGAAGGCGGCUCUCUGGGACGGUACUGACGCUGAGACGCGAAAGCGUGGGGAGCGAACAGG
rnacentral:rRNA from 1 species